rnacentral:rRNA from 1 species
AGAAUCAACGCUGGCGGCGUGCCUAACACAUGCAAGUCGAACGAGAAAGUGGAGCAAUCCAUGAGUAAAGUGGCGACCGGGUGAGUAACACGUGACUACCUACCCUUGAGUGGGGGAUAACCUCGGGAAACCGAGGCUAAUACCGCAUAAUAUCGAAAGAUCAAAGGAGUAAUCCGCUUUUGGAGGGGGUCGCGGCUGAUUAGCUAGUUGGUAGGUAAUGGCCUACCAAGGCGAAGAUCGGUA